UCCGGCUUGUCACCGGCAGUUUCUUCAGAGUGCCCAACUAAAUGAUGGCAACUGAAGAUGAGGGUUGCGCUCGUUGCGGGACUUAACCCAACAUCUCACGACACGAGCUGACGACAGCCAUGCAGCACCUGUGUGGACGCCAGCCGAACUGAAGGACCUCAUCUCUGAAGCCCAUACGUCCCAUGUCAAGGGUUGGUAAGGUUCUGCGCGUUGCUUCGAAUUAAACCACAUGCUCCGCUGCUUGUGCGGGCCCCCGUCGUUAGUUAAAUCUUUAUAACGAGACCGCUGGGAUAAACCCAGAGGAAGGUGGGGAUGACGUCAGUGCUUGCCU
rnacentral:misc_RNA from 1 species